UACGGGGGGUGCGAGCGUUGUCCGGAAUCACUGGGCGUAAAGGGCGCGUAGGUGGUUUGAUAAGGGUGUGGUGAAAGUCCGGAGCUCAACUCCGGAUCUGCCGUGCCGACUGUCAAACUCGAGGGCUGUAGAGGCAGACGGAAUUCCGGGUGUAGCGGUGGAAUGCGUAGAGAUCCGGAGGAAGACCGGUGGCGAAGGCGGCUCUCUGGGACGGUACUGACGCUGAGACGCGAAAGCGUGGGGAGCGAACAGG
rnacentral:rRNA from 1 species